AACCUGCCCUUUGCACUGGGAUAGCCUCGGGAAACCGAGGUUAAUACCGGAUACUCCAUAUUUGUCGCAUGGCGAAUAUGGGAAAGCUCCGGCGGCAAAGGAUGGGCCCGCGGCCUGUUAGCCAGUUGGUGGGGUAGUGGCCUACCAAGGCAAUGAUGGGUAGCCGGGUUGAGAGACCGACCGGCCAGAUUGGGACUGAGACACGGCCCAGACUCCUACGGGAGGCAGCAGUGGGGAAUCUUGCACAAUGGGCGAAAGCCUGAUGCAGCGACGCCGCGUGCGGGAUGAAGGCCUUCGGGUUGUAAACCGCUUUCAGCAGGGACGAGGCCGCAAGGUGACGGUACCUGCAGAAGAAGCCCCGGGCUAACUACGUGCCAGCAGCCGCGGUAAAU
rnacentral:rRNA from 1 species